UUCUAGAUGCCCUCUGAUGGGAGAUAAACUUCAUGAAGGUUCAGGGGUCUGCCACUUGGUGAAGUUUUCAGGGCCCCUCUUAGCCUGGAGCAGGAGUUGGCAAAUUUUAUCUUUAAUAAAUAUUUUAGGCUUUGCAGGGCAUAAGGUAUCCGUCACCACUACUCAGUUUUGCCAUUGUAGCGUGAAACCAGCCAUAGACAAUAGUUAAAUGAAUGGAUGCGGCUGUGUUCCAAUAAAACUUCAUUUACAAAAAUAGGAGGGGGAUCAUAUUUGGUCUGUGGAUAGCUGUUGGCCAACCCCCACCCUAGAGGAGACACUCCUUCUAAAGUAAAGGACAGAUUGUUGCUCGUCACUCCUCUACCGCUGAGAAAGAGGCACAACACUUGGUUGUAUUUUGAUGGUAGCAUUUACCACACUUGGGAGUAUUGUUUUGACCCUUAAUCAGGUGACUCAGGAGGCUUCCAGUUUUGACUACAACCCUGAGAAAAGAGGACUCUGCAGCCAAUCCAGGCUGUGAUGCCAGCUGUCCUGCUGCUUCAGCCAUGUGACCAGCAGUUACCAUGGUGCCCAAAAUGUCUAUGGGAGCAUCCACUUCAGAAGAGACCGCCACUACCACUCCACCCACUUCCCUCCACCACCCUAGCCUCUCUCCUUGGCCAUCCUAGAACUUGCCAGAACCUUAUGUAAAAGACUGCUUUCACGUGACUGUAUCAGAGAAAGGAGGGCAUCUCCAAAUACAGAAGGUGGAAAAAUGAAGAUUUGACCGAACUUCCCCAACUGGCACAGGGAAGGAUUUGCUUAGAGCAAGCAUUGGCUGUUUCCAGCCAGUUGUAAAACAGUAAACAGCUCAUAUGAUCAUAAAUGGGCAUGUCCCAGAAAUUCAUAGCGAUAUUUUAUUUCCCCAUCAAGACCAGGAAAUUCAGCCUCUGAAUUUUUCAGUCUGAAAAAGAUAUAACCAAUCACAUUCCAGAGUGGGAAAGUGGGGAUUUUUUUCUUUUGAAAGUUUUUCAAAAUCAAGGUUUCUAGCUAUGAGUUUUUGUGCAAACAACCCAAUUUCUCUUUGCCUUAGUUUCCUUAUUGUAAAAUGAAGAUGACAAUAGCCCCUGCCUCAUAGGGUUGUUGUGAGAAUUAAUAUGCCUAAGAUACUUAGAACAGUCCCUGGCACCAUGCAAGCAUUAGCUAUUAUUAACACUAUUAUUGUAACUAUUGGGUCAGAAUUAAAAUUACAUUAGAAUUAGAAUUUUAAUAUUCUUUAUAAAUUCUGCUAGUGUUUACCUUUUGAAAAAAUCUAGAAAAUUAUACACUUAAAAAUAAAUAUUAAGAAAAAACUUGAUAUAGGAGGGUGAGGAAAAUCAUAUUGUCCAUAUUAUAGUCAGAGAAAGGCUGCUCAUUGGGAGAUGUGUGCAUACUGCAUGGCAAGUUGACUGAGUCUUGUGUUACAGUGAUUUUUAUUUUGUAUUGUGCCAAGCCAACUGGGAAACAUGUAAAGAGGGAUUUUUUAUAAUAAUAUCAAAAUACAUAGGAAUAACUCUAACUAAAAAGAAUCAGUAUUAGUUGAUGAGUUUCUUGACACAGAGUUUUUGCUUUGAGGCUGUAUUUAUGCAAUUGUGAUCAUAUGCCCCCAGAGGGCUUUUGUCAAUGACUUCCGGAUACAGAUAGGAUAAA